GAACCCACAGACCGCAAGAUCAUGACCUGAGCCGAAGUCAGAAGCUCAACCGACUGAGCUACCUAGGCGCCCCUAAAAAGUGUAUUUUAAAAUGUAUGCAAACUUCCAGUUUCAACUCUGAUAUGUAAAGAACUUAGAAGUCAUCACCCAGAUUCUUGCAACAAGAAAAAUGCUGAAAAACAUUGCAAAUCAGCGAUUUAUCUUGGGCUUAUUGGAGAAUUGAGGUUGCAAGGCAAAUCACCAUGCAAAUCUGAAGAGAUCAGCAAACACAAAGAAUCACAGAUGAAAUCAGCUUCCCUGGAGCAGAAGCUGCUGGAGCUGCAAACUGUCUCCCUUAACAUCUUUCAAACAAUGGCUGGCGUUAGGAUGUCCCUGGAAGGGGACUGCCCUCUCGCCAGCGCUCGGGAAGACACUGAAGGGCAACCAAUCACCGAGCGCCAGCACAACCCAGCGGAAAGCCCCCGAGUGGCUCUCCAGAACAACUGAAGGUCAACCAAUUACUGAGCAACAGCACAACGUGGGACGAGAGAAAGACCCACCCGAGCCUAAAACCAGAACUGCUACAGCUUAAAAACCCUACCCCACCAUACUCGGGUACGACUUCCCUGACUCCCUCCUUGAGUCACGGAACCUCGCCCGGAACCUUAGUUCCCAAUAAAGCCUUAAACUGCAAAAAUUC